rnacentral:tRNA from 1 species
GGACUAAAAUCCGUUGGCUUUAUAGACCAUGAGGGUUCAACUCCCUCUACCCCCA